ensembl:lncRNA
AGCGGGGAGCAUAGGACCUAUUUUCGACACCCAGAGCUCUUUAUAUAAUAGUAUAUAAUCUAAUAUAAUUGUAUAAUAAUAUCACGGCCAAAAGCUCUGUGCGCCUCCGGAUGGCCGCGGGAAGCUCUCGUAGGGAUUGGGCUUCUCGGGGUUUGAUUACCGGCGUAUGAAUAGACUGCGUCAGGUUCUCCGACGUCUCUCCCUCUUCCACAAAAGGUAAAGACAUUAAAUGGUAGUUAUCUCGGCCGGAAUUUGGCAGUAAUGGUGAGAAAAAGUAACAGACCGGGAAGAUAGAACCCUUUUUUUGAAAAAGGUUCCUAUGCUCCCCAGUCUCAUACAAAGAGGGGGACCCGGGGAACAUAGACAUGCUCCCAGCUAAUGCUAGUGUAAAUGGUGCUAAUUUAGUGCAAUUUCAGAUGAGAUUUUGUGUGAACAUUUGUGAGCGUGCUGUGUGGAGAAUGUUUAGCACAAAUUGCCCACUGUUAAGAAAAUGACAAGAUUUUUUUUUUACAAAUGUCUUAUGUUGGCACUUGCCAGCCACCACUGUUGGUGAUGAUUUGAUAAAGAAUUUGCCAGUGGUUCAUGCUAAUGAUUGUUAAUGUUUACCUUGUGUAAUUUAAUUUUUGUGUAACUAUGUUUAUAAAAAGACUUAAAGUGACUUGUUGUUGACGUACAAAAUAUCUAAAAUAUUGAGCAAAAGAGGGUAAAAACAUGGUUUUGACAGUUUUGUCUUAUGUAUGGUUGUGGUUACAGACAACUACAAGGAGUUGAUGGGGAAAAAAGAAGCCUUCCUCAAGGAUGAGGACAUCUGGCACAUGGCAGUUGCAAGAAGGACCACACCUUGUACCACAACACAUGAUGGAAGCAAACCAAAGAAAAAAAGAAUUACGGCAACUUCCAGUCUCACUUCAGAUGAUGAUGAAACACAGAUUGACCCAUCACGAGUUCUUCAAACAAAUAAGCCGAAGAUGACAAAGGCUGCAAGAGACCGAGCCCUUGCCCAACUGAAAUCCUCGCUGCUGAGAAGAAAGCAAACAACCUCCACCCCCUUGACAAAUGAAGACGAUACAGACAUAGACACCAAUGUGGACUUAUUUGACCCACCUCAGGCUUCGGGAUCAAGUGAAAAUGACAAUUGGACUGAAAUGCUGUUAUCGUGAGGAAGAGGAAUGUAAACCCAGGGGAAAUGUUCACAAUAAUCCGCCUUCGCUUGUAAGAAAAUGACCUCUCCCAAGGGGAAAGUGAAGAGGAGAGUGUCCUGAUGGAUCAGCCCAGAUCCAGUGUUGGCAUGCAACAGGAAGUGAUGGAUGCUCUGAAAGAAAUACCAGCCUUAGUCAAGUGUGUCAAAGAUCUUAUUGCAACCAUGAAGAGAAUGCCACCUGUCAUGGACACUGACAGUACAUGUUCUGGCUCUUCCAGUCCAGCUCCAGAAAUGAUUUCCCUUGGCAACAAGGGGGUGCAGGUCAGCAAAACCUGUUUCAAAAGACUCAACCGAACAAGAAUGUCCCUGUUCACACAGGACUUAGCUGUGCUCCUCUUUGGGCGGGAUGUUUUGGCAUCCUCGACUCUCACAGGAAAACCAGGGCUUACUGGAACAGUGAAAGAGCAGUUAAAUCCGGAAAAGCUGAGUGCCCUUGUUGAUACAGUUAUUGCUGAAUUUCCAGGAACAAAUGUGUCUGAUGUGAGGGCAGUGAUUCAGAGAAAAUGUAACAAUGAGAAUUUUGUGAGCAAAAAGAAACAGUAAGCAGUAAAUCAGUAACUGUUUGUAAUAAUUUCUUGUUUGUUUUUUCUUUGGUGGACAUACAUUUUGAGUUUAAACAAACUGUGUAAAAGUUUAAACAAUCUGUCCACCUAUGUAAAAGUUUCAACAGUCUGUUUAAUGUUUAAUGUUUUUUAAUGUUUUCAAAAGUCAGUUUCAGUUUAAUGUUCAUCCCUGUCAUUACUAGCAAUGGUACGAUGAAGAGAAACAGUUUGAAAAUGUUGUUAAAGAUGUAUUUUGUACCCUGUCAUGCCGUGCAUGUUAAAAAUAAACGUUAUUUCU